CAGCAGCCGCGGGAAUACGAAGGGGGCUAGCGUUGCUCGGAACGACUGGGCGUAAAGGGCGCGUAGGCGGCGAUCAAAGUCAGGCGUGAAAUUCCUGGGCUCAACCUGGGGGCUGCGUUUGAUACUUGAUUGCUAGAGUGGGGAAGAGGGUCGUGGAAUUCCCAGUGUAGAGAUGAAAUUCGUAGAUAUUGGGAAGAACACCGGUGGCGAAGGCGGCGACCUGGUCCUUGACUGACGCUGAGGCGCGAAAGCGUGGGGAGCAAACAGGAUUAGAUACCCGCGUAGUCCCUGUCUCUUAUAC
rnacentral:rRNA from 1 species